UGAAGACGGAACCCAGUUAGUGCAAUAA
rnacentral:sRNA from 1 species